AGUGAACGCUGGCGGUAGGCCUAACACAUGCAAGUCGAACGGCAGCACAGUAAGAGCUUGCUCUUACGGGUGGCGAGUGGCGGACGGGUGAGGAGUACAUCGGAAUCUACUUUUUCGUGGGGGAUAACGUAGGGAAACUUACGCUAAUACCGCAUACGACCUACGGGUGAAAGCAGGGGAUCUUCGGACCUUGCGCGAUUGAAUGAGCCGAUGUCGGAUUAGCUAGUUGGCGGGGUAAAGGCCCACCAAGGCGACGAUCCGUAGCUGGUCUGAGAGGAUGAUCAGCCACACUGGAACUGAGACACGGUCCAGACUCCUACGGGAGGCAGCAGUGGGGAGUAUUGGACAAUGGGCGCAAGCCUGAUCCAGCCAUACCGCGUGGGUGAAGAAGGCCUUCGGGUUGUAAAGCCCUUUUGUUGGGAAAGAAAAGCAGCAGGUUAAUACCCCGCUGUUCUGACGGUACCCAAAGAAUAAGCACCGGCUAACUUCGUG
rnacentral:rRNA from 1 species